AGCUCGUUUCCCGCUCGGAGUGCGCAUCUGACUGCGGAUCAAAGAGAAAUUCCCAGAAGCCACUUCCUGCCGCCGCUCCUGCACAUGCUGCUCAGCUGCAUCGGGGCAGGGAGGCGUUUCUUUGAGACUGGCAACGGCGGGGAAGGGUGCCGCGCCUCCCGAGCAUGGCCUGAGCCAGGCGUCCCUUGCCCCGAACUGGGCUGCCGCUCCUGGCCUCGCGGGGCAUUCACGGCUGCAUGGAUCCAGAUGGAGUGGCUGUGUGUCCCCCGGUGCAAGACAGAAGCAGGGGAGCCCCCCCCUGCCCCUUUCCCGCCUGCCCCCGCCACCCCGCAGGGCCCACGCGAGAGAUCGCGGUGUGUGGCGAGCAGAGGCACGAAGACGGGCGGGUGCGCAGGGAACCGGGUGCCCCGUGCUCCCAGGGCCUGUGUGCUGCAAAUGCCUGAGCAGGGGUUGCCAUAAUUAAAAGCAGGCCUCCGCCAAGCAAGACAAAGGCUCCCUCCCUGCGACGGCAUCUGGAGAAGCCCGAAGGAACGGACUCUUCGCCCGCCUUGUGUCCUCAGCUACUUAACCCGAGUCCAUCGCACCCUCGGGAGAGGCAGGAAAGGGGUCAUUACUUCCAGCAAAUUGUUUCUUCUCCCGAGGCCAAUAGCGCUGCAGGGGCGAGGGGGGCAGGUUGAGGCUCCCGGCCCGGCCCAAUAAACAGCCGCGCGUUGCAGACUGUAAUGAGCAGCCCCAGAGAGGCGGAAGCGCGGUUCCUCCCAGCAGAGCUCCCCCCUUCUCCCCAGGGAGCCAGGCCCGCUCCCCACAGCAGCCCUGGAGCCUCCCUCCCAGCUGGGCCUUGCAGUCAGCGCGCGGGGAAGGGCUGAGGUGUCAACACCAGGCUCUGUCUUGUUUCAGCUGGGACUGGUUGGAGAUGUGGAGCUCGCAUCUGCGUGCCACAUAAACAGCCCUCCCUCCCCCCAGCACAGCGCCGUAUGCUUCAGGCUGCCUGUUCUGGAAGAGCCUGAAAAGGGAGCCCUGUAACAGCUUGGGAUAGAAGAGACCCGCUUGGCCCCACUGUCACAUACAGUCUCAGGGUUGGCAGGGACCUCAAGGGUUGCCCAGCCCCACCCCCUUCCCAGAUGUUCCUAAACCAUCCCACUGAAGUGCUUGCUUUUGCACCCAGAGCCCAGGCACUCGGGUUUGUCCCACGCAAACACAAGCAGCUCAGGUGCCUCCUGCCUUGCCUAGCUGCCCUUCGCUGGGGUUGGGAGAAGACAACUGGUCACGGAAGCCAUCUGGGAAACAGCGCACACAGGAAUACAUCUUGCUGAAGCAUCUAGCUUAGGAGAGAGCUGUUUGUUUUAAGACAUCAUCCUUAAGAGCUGCUGGCUCUGGCAAAGCCACAACCACCAAGCUUUUCUGGAAGAAAAGUGGUAAAACUAUCCAGAUGUGGGGUGCCGUGUAAGGCAGGGCUUCUUAGCCCACCAGGUUCCCCCCGCCCCCCCUCCAACCCCUUCCCCCAAGCCAGACCCCCGCACACGGGCCACCCCCGGGGUGCUGGCAUGUGACAGUGGUAUGGAGUGCCACCUUCUCCACCGCCAGCACCGCGACAGGAUCCGUUUGCAAAGCCUGUUUCUGAACUCAGGAAGGAGGAGGCUGGAGGGGGCUGGGACGUGAGCACAGUGGGGUCUCUCUCCCAGCAAAUGGCCAAGAGUCAGCUGUGCUGGGAACUGGGGAGAGCGGGGCUCUCCACCCGAAGGCACAUCUGGUGUGCAUCUCCCUUUGCUCUCUGCCCGGCAGAUACCUCGGGAGGUACAAAAAUAAACACGCAGCCUUGUAAACGCGGAGAUUUCUCGCCCUGUUUCCAAGCGCGGGACCACACAGGACAGCGUUGCUCCUCUCUCCGUGCAAUAAUCUCGUCGGAUCUUACAACAACAGCAUGGAGAGGGCUCCUGGCUCUCCCCCCCGGCGAAGCCCUGCAGGGUGAUUGACACAGAGGGGCCUGGAGACAGCUCCCCCGGUUAAUUAAUGAGGUGACUCGGGACUGGAGAUAAAGGGCUGCUAAUGUCAUCACUUUUCAGGUACCAAUCCCUGCGCUGGGCCAGGAGCAGAGGCAGGAAAGGUCGAGUGAUUAACAAUUGCUCCCGCUCCCCAAGCAUGUUCGCGCCGGGCCCGGUCAGCCGAGACGAGGGCAGCCCUGCUGCUGUCCCGGCCCGGGGCUGGGGACCAUGCCCGGAGCGUGCGUCCCGCCGGGGAUGGAGGCCUGCGAGGCAGCCACCUCCCCAGACCAACACGGCUACAACCUACACCUCCCCAGACCUGCACUCCAAGGAGGUUCGCUUUGUUGUUCAGCCCUGUGAUCUGAUCUCCCACAUGGAAGCCUUUAGCGAUUGUUUGUUAAUGAUCAUGACAAAGGCAUUAUUCAAAUUAGGCAGAAUGGGUCUCCCGUCACAUCUGAUCACGAAAGUACUCCAUCAAAGGUCCCUUUACAGCGUCACUCGGCCUAUCCGUGCACAAAUCAAGGCAACGAAAGUGAAGCCAGCCUGCAAACCCACUCCACGCUAGCUCCUGGCAGCCCCUGACUGAUACCCUAACUUUGUUUCAAAAUUUGAAGUCCAUUUGCAUUUCAAACAUCUUAAAGCACCUUUCGAUUUCCUGA